rnacentral:rRNA from 1 species
CCUACGACUCAAUCGUAGAAAGGGAAUGGAUACUGCAGAUCUAGAAGUAUCUAGGGGUUAGUGGAAUUUCCGGUGGAGCGGUGAAAUGCGUUGAUAUCGGAAGGAACGCCGAAAGCGAAAGCAGCUAACUAUAGAAUACUUGACGAUGAGGGACGACAGUUUGGGGAGCAAACAGGAUUAGAUACCCUGGUAGUCCAAACCGUAAAUUAUGCUUGCUAGAUGUUUUUAUCAAUUUAUUGGUAGGAGUGUCGUAAUCUAACGAGUUAAGCAAGCCGCCUGGGUAGUAUAUUCGCAAGAAUGAAACUCAAAGGGAUAGGCGGGGGAACACACAAGCAGUGGAUUAUCUAGAUUAAUUGGAUAAUAAGCCAAGAAUCUUACCUAGGAUUGACAUGUAUUGUGUCUCAGGUGAAAGCCUGAUAUCCGUAGCAAUACGGAGCUUUACACAGGUGGUGCAUGGUCGUCGUCAGCUCGUGCCGCAAGGUGUCUAGUUAAGUCUGGAAACGAGCGCAACCCUCGUGUUUAGUUAGUAUGUCUAAACAGACUGCUCGGGUAACCGAGAGGAAGGAGAGGAUGACGUCAGAUCCUCAUGCCCCUUACACCUAGGGCCUCA